ACUUUGACCAUUGUCAGGGCCAGCCCCUGGUUGUCUGCGAAGGACACCCGCUUUUUCACCUUCUUCUCCUGGACAGCCGGGGCCACCAUUCCACUGGCUUCAUUCUUGCUGCUCAGCUGAAUACAAGGCCUCAGUGGUUUGCUGGGCUUUGGUGAGAUCUUAAAGGCAAACCUCUCUUGGCGCAAGGAAGGAGCCAUGCAGUUGUAUCUGUACUCGAUGUCCACAGCCAUCAUGGGGCUAGAUGAACAGGCUAGAACCGUGGAAAGGGAAGAGAAGAAAGAAAACAGUGGAGCAAUCAGAUCAGACAGAUGUGUAAAGGCAUCAUUCCAGCAGGGACUGGCAAACAAUAUUUCCUUUUAUCUAUGCCCACCUGGCUACAGGUCCACGUAUGCUCAGAUUCUCUUCUGCCUCUGCCGCCCUGAGACAGCAAGACCAACCCCUUCUCCUCCUCUUCCUCCUCCUCAGCCUACUCAACGUGAAGAGGAUGAGAAUGAAGACCUUUAUGAUGACCCGCAUCCACUUAAUGAAUAGUAAAUAUAUUUUCUCUUUCCUAUGAUUUUCUUAACAUUUUCUUUCCUUUAGUUUACUUUACUAUAAGAAUACGGUAUAUGUUACAAAUAAAAUACAAAAUAUGUGUUAA